rnacentral:rRNA from 1 species
CGGACGGGUGAGUAACGCGUGGGUAACCUGCCCUGUACAGGGGGAUAACAGUUGGAAACGGCUGCUAAAACCGCAUAACAUGGAGAUACCGCAUGAUAUUUCCAUCAAAUAUUUAUAGGUACAGGAUGGGCCCGCGUCUGAUUAGCCAGUUGGCAGGGUAAUGGCCUACCAAAGCGACGAUCAGUAGCCGGCUUGAGAGAGUGACCGGCCACAUUGGGACUGAGGCACGGCCCAAACUCCUACGGAAGGCAGCAG